AAGUCGUAACAAGGUUUCCGUAGGUGAACCUGCGGAAGGAUCAUUACUGAGUGAGGGCCCUCUGGGUCCAACCUCCCACCCGUGUUUAUUGUACCUUGUUGCUUCGGUGCGCCCGCCUCACGGCCGCCGGGGGGCUUCUGCCCCCGGGCCCGCGCCCACCGAAGACACCAUUGAACUCUGUCUGAAGAUUGCAGUCUGAGCAUAAACUAAAUAAGUUAAAACUUUCAACAACGGAUCUCUUGGUUCCGGCAUCGAUGAAGAACGCAGCGAAAUGCGAUAACUAAUGUGAAUUGCAGAAUUCAGUGAAUCAUCGAGUCUUUGAACGCACAUUGCGCCCCCUGGUAUUCCGGGGGGCAUGCCUGUCCGAGCGUCAUUGCUGCCCUCAAGCACGGCUUGUGUGUUGGGCUCCGUCCCCCCGGGGACGGGCCCGAAAGGCAGCAGCGGCACCGAGUCCGGUCCUCGAGCGUAUGGGGCUUUGUCACCCGCUCUGUAGGCCCGGCCGGCGCCAGCCGACAACCCAUCAUCCUUUUCAGGUUGACCUCGGAUCAGGUAGGGAUACCCGCUGAACUUAA
rnacentral:rRNA from 1 species